UACGUAGGGUGCAAGCGUUGUCCGGAAUCAUUGGGCGUAAAGCGCGUGUAGGCGGUUCAGUAAGUCUGCUGUGAAAGUCCAGGGCUCAACCCUGGGAUGCCGGUGGAUACUGCUGGGCUAGAGUACGGAAGAGGCGAGUGGAAUUCCCGGUGUAGCGGUGAAAUGCGCAGAUAUCGGGAGGAACACCAAUUGCGAAGGCAGCUCGCUGGGACGUAACUGACGCUGAGACGCGAAAGCGUGGGGAGCAAACAGG
rnacentral:rRNA from 1 species